UCUUCAUUUCUCGUAGUCUCUCAUCGGUCAGAGAGGCGAGAGAGUGUGCGAAAUGAAGAGA
rnacentral:pre_miRNA from 1 species